rnacentral:lncRNA from 1 species
UCACCAUUUGGAAGGAUCAUCUAGAUUGUAUUGUAGAAAUAAAAGAAUCAGUCUUCCUAAAACUAUGGCAGCCUAAGUUUCUUAUUAUUUCCUUUAAAUGGGGCAAAGAUACAUGGCUAGAAGAGGAUUCAAAAUCGCUUCAUAAAAGUCCCUUGAUCGUUGAAAGGCCUAAGAGAUGGCUGUGUUGAUCGGGAAUACCUUGAAGGAUGCUGGCCACUCUGAUAGUAAAGAUCAGGUUAUGAAAUCAGUCAGAUUACUCGCGGGAAACCGUUACUAUUAGUUUCUUACUAGUGUUAAAGGUAUAUCCAUGUAUGUAAAAUUUAGAAAUAAAUAAAUCUUUACAUGAAUUUUCUACCCUUGUUUCAUUAAUUUCAUCGGUAUCUUGGUUAUUUUGCGGCAUGGCUAUGGCUGAUUAUAUUGGCAACAUAUUUUAAAGGGAGUUGGAGAGAAAAUCGGUGUUUGGUAUAUAAGAAGAAAAUAGUAGUGGAGUGGUAUGAGUGGUACGGGAUUAACAGAGUAGAACGUGUGAUUGUUAGAUUGAGGUUGUUAGUUUGUCAUGCUCAAUGCAGCAGUUAUAGUAGAUGUAUUAAUCACAACCUAAUUGUGUUGAGCUGUCCAAAUCCACCCAUUUAUUAAUGAGUGAAUUUGGCUAUGCAAUGAAUUUUGAUUGAGUUUAAAUGAAUAUCUAAUUAGACCCAUUUAAUUGAUGGAUAGUAGUAGGUUGAUUUGGCUCAUUUAUUUAUAUCCAUUGAGAAAUAAUUAUACAAUUAAACUUAAUUUUCAAUGGGUGUUAAGCAAAUAAGUUUAAAUUUUCUACCAAUCUAAUAACAAUAAAACAUCAUUAUUUCUAGUCAAACAAUGUGCAAAAAAAAAAUAAGGAAAAAAAAGUAGAAUUUUAAGUGAGUCAUAAAUGGGUAAUUGGAUACCCAUAUUAAUUUCUUAAAUAGGUAUAAAUGAGUUGAUUCAUCUUGAUCAAUUUAUUAAAUAAGUAUAAAUGAAUUGACCCAAUUAUGACUCGCUCAAACCCAUGUGACUCACCCAUUUUGACAUCUUUAACUUUUAUAACAAGGGUACAUUUGAAAGUACAUAAAAAAGUAACAACGAAAUGUAAAAUGGGUACAGUAACUUUAUUAUUAUAAACCCAUGUGACUCACCCAUUUUGACAUCUUUAACUUUUAUAACAAGGGUAUAUUUGAAAGUGCAUAAAAAAGUAACAAGGAAAUGUCAAAUGGGUACAGUAACUUUAUUAUUAUAGGGAUAACUACUCUAAGUCAAUUAUAAUUAGGAAAACAACACUACAAGAAGUAUAUGAAAAUUUGUAAAUUAUAUCAUCAAAAGUUCAUUAAUAUAAAUCUUGGCUUCUUCUAUCAACCAAAAGAGAAAAAGAAGAAAAAAACCUACAAAUUCUGAUGUUUCGAACAGAGUAAGCAUGAUAAUAUUCAAUGACAGCAUAACACUAAGCAUUUAGUUUAAGAGCUUAAAACCAUUAAAAAUGUAAACAACUAUAUGUAAAUUAAAUUGAUUGAACAAUAGCUUUUCUUUUUCUUUUCUUUGGAUCUUCAAUUGCUUAUCAUUUAUGUUUCGAAUGAAAUAGAUAUUUUACAAAAUUGUCUGAAUUAUUCAAUAAAAUUAUCAAUGUAGAUGAACAUAAAUAUAAAUAUAUUGAAACUUUAUUAGCAAAAUAUUUGAUUU